GAUGAACGCUGGCGGCGUGCCUAACACAUGCAAGUCGAGCGAUUCUCUUCGGAGAAGAGCGGCGGACGGGUGAGUAACGCGUGGGUAACCUGCCCUGUACACACGGAUAACAUACCGAAAGGUAUGCUAAUACGAGAUAAUAUGCUUUUAUCGCAUGGUAGAAGUAUCAAAGCUUUUGCGGUACAGGAUGGACCCGCGUCUGAUUAGCUAGUUGGUAAGGUAACGGCUUACCAAGGCGACGAUCAGUAGCCGACCUGAGAGGGUGAUCGGCCACAUUGGAACUGAGACACGGUCCAAACGCCUACGGGAGGCAGCAGUGGGAAAUAUUGCACAAUGGGCGAAAGCCUGAUGCAGCAACGCCGCGUGAGCGAUGAAGGCCUUCGGGUCGUAAAGCUCUGUCCUCAAGGAAGAUAAUGACGGUACUUGAGGAGGAAGCCCCGGCUAACUACGUGCCAGCAGCCGCCGUAACAC
rnacentral:rRNA from 1 species